rnacentral:rRNA from 1 species
AGCGAACGCUAGCGGCAGGCUUAACACAUGCAAGUCGAACGCGAAUCCUUCGGGAUUCGAGUGGCGAACGGGUGAGUAACACGUGGGUCACGUACCCUGAGGUGGGGAUAACCCGAGGAAACUCGGGCUAAUACCGCAUGUGCGCUUCGGCGUAAAAGUCUUCGGACGCCUUUGGAACGGCCCGCGGCCGAUUAUUUAGUCCUAGUUGGUGAGGUAACGGCUCACCAAGGGUACGAUCGGUAGCUGGCUGAGAGGACGAUCAGCCACACUGGGACUGAGACACGGCCCAGACUCCUACGGGAGGCAGCAGUGGGGAAUCUUGCGUAAUGCGCG